UGAGGAAUAUUGGUCAAUGGACGCAAGUCUGAACCAGCCAAGUAGCGUGCUGGAUGACGGCCCUAUGGGUUGUAAACUGCUUUUAUAUGGGGAUAAAGUGGGGAACGUGUUCCCUUUUGCAGGUACCAUAUGAAUAAGGACCGUCUAAUUCCGUGCCAGCAGCCGCGGUAAUACGGAAGGUUCGGGCGUUAUCCGGAUUUAUUGGGUUUAAAGGGAGCGUAGGCCGUUUGGUAAGCGUGUUGUGAAAUGUAGGAGCUCAACUUCUAGAUUGCAGCGCGAACUGUCAGACUUGAGUGCGCACAACGUAGGCGGAAUUCAUGGUGUAGCGGUGAAAUGCUUAGAUAUCAUGAAGAACUCCGAUUGCGAAGGCAGCUUACGGGAGCGCAACUGACGCUGAAGCUCGAAGGUGCGGGUAUCGAACAGG
rnacentral:rRNA from 1 species